rnacentral:misc_RNA from 1 species
GAUGAAGAACGCAGCGAAAUGCGAUAAGUAGUGUGAAUUGCAGAAUUCAGAGAAUCAUCGACUCUUUGAACGCACAUUGCGCCCUUUGGUAUUCCAAAGGGCAUGCCUGUUCGAGCGUCAUUUGUACCCUCAAGCUUUGCUUGGUGUUGGGCGUCUUGUCUCUAGCUUUGCUGGAGACUCGCCUUAAAGUAAUUGGCAGCCGGCCUACUGGUUUCGGAGCGCAGCACAAGUCGCACUCUCUAUCAGCAAAGGUCUAGCAUCCAUUAAGCCUUUUUUUCAACUUUUGACCUCGGAUCAGGUAGGGAUACCCGCUGAACUUAAGCAUAUCAAUAAGCGGAGGA